rnacentral:rRNA from 1 species
GGCGNUCUGCUGGAACUUAACUGACGCUAAUGCGUGAAAGCGUGGGGAGCAANCAGGAUUAGAUACCCUGGUAGUNCACGCCCUAAACGAUGUAUACCGGUUGUUGCUGUGCUAGUCACGGCAGUAAUCCACCUAACGGAUUAAGUAUACCGCCUGGGGAGUACGGUCGCAAGAUUAAAACUCAAAGGAAUAGACGGGGACCCGCACAAGCGGUGGAGCAUGUGGUUUAAUUCGAAGAUACGCGAAGAACCUUACCCGGACUUGAUAUCUAACAAAUCAUCCAGAGAUGGAAGAGUGUCUGCUUGCAGAAAUGUUAAGACAGGUGCUGCACGGCUGUCGUCAGCUCGUGUCGUGAGAUGUUGGGUUAAGUCCCGCAACGAGCGCAACCCACGUCAUUAGUUGCUAACGGUUCGGCCGAGCACUCCAAUGAGACUGCCUUCGUAAGGAGGAGGAAGGUGUGGACGACGUCAAGUCAUCAUGGCCCUUAUGUCCGGGGCGACACACGUGCUACAAUGGCAUAUACAAUAAGACGCAAUAUCGUAAGAUGGAGCAAAUCUAAAAAAUAUGUCCCAGUUCGGAUUGGAGUCUGCAACUCGACUCCAUGAAGCCGGAAUCGCUAGUAAUCGUAGAUCAGCCAUGCUACGGUGAAUACGUUCCCGGGUCUUGUACUCACCGCCCGUCACACCAUGGGAGUUGAUUUCACUCG